GGCCUAGUGGCUCAAUGGUAGAGCAUCCGACUCCAGAUCGGAAGGUUGCGCGUUCGAUUCGCGUCUGGGUCA
rnacentral:tRNA from 1 species